AGGUUUUUGUGAUUGAUUUUGUUGAAGUAUUUGGAAUUCUCUACUUCAAGUGUUAUUUUUGGCUGAGUAAUUUUUAUUGAACUGCACCACGUGGUUGAGGAGGGUUACAAGGUUGCUUUAAAUGCUUAUGAUCUAAGUCAAGGACUUACUAGACAGCUGUCAGUGUCGUUUUUAAGGAAAGUUAUUGAAGGCAUAUGGCGGGUGCUUCUUUUUGUUCUUAGUAGAAAGCCUAAUGAUAACAGGUAGUAGUAUAUUAAUAAAAGGCUAGAAAAAAAAAAAGAAUAUAUUGAAGUGUGAAAGUCUAGCAUUUUGUGGCUCUCAAUGUAGUGGGUAUAAGUAGGUAUAGAUAAUUGUGUACUUUUUCAUUAAAAAUGUUUAAUAAAAGAUUUGUGUGUCUCUAUUUUUCCCUAAUAUGCAUUGUCUUGUCUUUCUCUGUAA